UGGAACAUGUAAGUAAGGGCUGUAUUAUUCUGUCAUUACUUCCAUGUUUCA
rnacentral:pre_miRNA from 1 species